rnacentral:rRNA from 1 species
AUUGAACGCUGGCGGCAUGCCUUACACAUGCAAGUCGAACGGUAACGGGCCUUCGGGUGCCGACGAGUGGCGAACGGGUGAGUAAUACAUCCGAACGUGCCCGAUCGUGGGGGAUAACGAGGCGAAAGCUUUGCUAAUACCGCAUACGAUCUACGGAUGAAAGCAGGGGACCGCAAGGCCUUGCGCGGACGGAGCGGCCGAUGGCAGAUUAGGUAGUUGGUGGGAUAAAAGCUUACCAAGCCGACGAUCUGUAGCUGGUCUGAGAGGAUGAUCAGCCACACUGGGACUGAGACACGGCCCAGACUCCUACGGGAGGCAGCAGUGGGGAAUUUUGGACAAUGGGCGCAAGCCUGAUCCAGCCAUGCCGCGUGCAGGAUGAAGGCCUUCGGGUUGUAAACUGCUUUUGUACGGAACGAAAAGCCUUCUUUUAAUACAGGAGGGUCAUGACGGUACCGUAAGAAUAAGCACCGGCUAACUACGUG